rnacentral:rRNA from 1 species
UACGUAGGGGGCUAGCGUUGUCCGGAUUUAUUGGGCGUAAAGCGCGUGUAGGCGGCCAGGUAGGUCUGCUGUGAAAACUCGAGGCUCAACCUCGAGACGCCGGUGGAAACCAUCUAGCUAGAGUCCGGAAGAGGAGAGUGGAAUUCCUGGUGUAGCGGUGAAAUGCGCAGAUAUCAGGAAGAACACCCGUGGCGAAGGCGGCUCUCUGGGACGUGACUGACGCUGAGACGCGAAAGCGUGGGGAGCGAACAGG